rnacentral:lncRNA from 1 species
CACUCGGCACUUUCAUGGGAUACAGGUAGUGUGAAUUGUUGGAGAUAAAUAAUUUCUAUAUGAGUAAUCAUAAUAUUAAUGCCUAAGGAUGAAGCUACAGGUCCCUUCUCUCCCCUUUUAUUAGAAUCAUCUAUUUUUUCUUCUUUAUCGCCGGCGUUUCACUUUAUCUGCAGUCUUCGAGACGCCAAUGGCACUUACCAGUGAUUGUCUCACAAAGCUCUUUCAGUGCUAGAUUGGUCAGAAGAGGACUUAGGAUUUUAGAUAUAAUGUGGAACCGACAACACAAUUCUGUAGUCGUACCUCGAGGGUUUCUCCAUAAUUAUCUCUGAUCCAUUUCCAUCCAUCACCUAAAUGGCCAUCGUGUAUGACAUUCUAAUAGGGAGAGAGAGGUUAGAUGGUUAUGUCUCCUCCUGUUUCUAUGCAAAAUCGAAAAACCAACCAACAUGAACUGCACAGAGUUUGCGUCAUCAAUAAAAUCUGACUCCUCAAAAAGCUGUGUUUCUUCCUUUCCCGCAGUAUCUCAUUCCCAUUACCAUCUAUUCCGAUUACAAGUUAUGCAGACUAUGAAUUUCUCUCGUGUGUUUUACUGCCAUACAAAAGGAGUUGUACAGGAAAUGAG